GGACGACUCUCGGCAACGGAUAUCUCGGCUCUCGCAUCGAUGAAGAACGUAGCGAAAUGCGAUACUUGGUGUGAAUUGCAGAAUCCCGUGAACCAUCGAGUCUUUGAACGCAAGUUGCGCCCGAAGCCUUCGGGCCAAGGGCACGUCUGCCUGGGCGUCACGCA
rnacentral:rRNA from 1 species